rnacentral:misc_RNA from 1 species
UCCGAUUUGUCACCUACAUGUCAAGCCCAGGUAAGGUUCUUCGCGUUGCGUCGAAUUGAACCACAUGCUCCACUGCUUGUGCGGGUCCCCGUCAAUUCCUUUGAGUUUUAGCCUUGCGGCCGUACUCCCCAGGCGGGGCACUUAAUGCGUUAGCUACGGCACCGGAGGAGUCGACACCUCCGACACCUAGUGCCCAUCGUUUACAGCGUGGACUAC